GGGGGGGGGGGAGAGGGUGGGAAGGAAAAAUUGGAGGUAGGGUGAGGGAAGGGGAGGGUUGAAGGGAAAAUAAUGAAACAGAGGAAAAAAGAGAAUAACAAGUAAAAAGCAAUGCAUGUAAAUACAGAGCAAGCAAGUAGGAAAGCUAGGCAUAGCACAGCAAAAGAGAGCAAAGCAAAAGAAGGCAAAGAAUGACAAAAAGCAACCUUGCAGGAAUGGAGGAAUCUGUCCAGAGCUGUGCCCCUGCUUGCCACAGGAGCUGCGCGGGAGGAGAAGAACGUGGGCCAGCAGGAAUGGAGGAAUCUGUCCAGAGCUGUGCCCCUGCUUGCCACAGGAGCUGCGCGGGAGGAGAAGAACGUGGGCCAAAAGGUAAGAGGAGCUCCUUUGGGUUCUGGGCUUGAAGCAAAGCUGAGAAGCCAUGCCCGGGAGGAGGUGGUGGGCCAAAAGGUAAGAGGAGCUCCUUUGGGUUCUGGGCUUGAAGCAAAGCUGAGAAGCCAUGCCCGGGAGGAGGUGUGGGUAGCUACAGGCCACCUUGCUAUCUCCCCAAGAGAUGAGGUGUGUGGGCUAGGCACCGGGCAGGGUGCUGGCCAGAAGCAAGCAUCUCUGUGGAGGAAGGCAAAGGGCGGAGGAGGUUCAAGGGUAGCUACCGGGCAUGGCCUUGCUCAGCAAGGGGAGGAAAG
rnacentral:lncRNA from 7 species